rnacentral:snRNA from 1 species
UUCAUGGAACAAAAAAAGGUCAAGAACCCUUGUGGAAUUGGAACGAUACAGAGAAGAUUAGCAAGGCCCCUGCGCAAGGAUGACACGCAAAUUCGUGAAGCGUUCCAUAUUUUU